rnacentral:rRNA from 1 species
GAUGAACGCUGGCGGCGUGCCUAAUACAUGCAAGUCGAGCGAACAGACGAGGAGCUUGCUCCUCUGACGUUAGCGGCGGACGGGUGAGUAACACGUGGAUAACCUACCUAUAAGACUGGGAUAACUUCGGGAAACCGGAGCUAAUACCGGAUAAUAUAUUGAACCGCAUGGUUCAAUAGUGAAAGACGGUUUUGCUGUCACUUAUAGAUGGAUCCGCGCCGCAUUAGCUAGUUGGUAAGGUAACGGCUUACCAAGGCAACGAUGCGUAGCCGACCUGAGAGGGUGAUCGGCCACACUGGAACUGAGACACGGUCCAGACUCCUACGGGAGGCAGCAGUAGGGAAUCUUCCGCAAUGGGCGAAAGCUUGACGGAGCAACGCCGCGUGAGUGAUGAAGGUCUUCGGAUCGUAAAACUCUGUUAUUAGGGAAGAACAAAUGUGUAAGUAACUAUGCACGUCUUGACGGUACCUAACCAGAAAGCCACAGCUAACUACGUG